GAUGAAGAACGUAGCGAAAUGCGAUAAGUAGUGUGAAUUGCAGAAUUCAGUGAAUCAUCGAAUCUUUGAACGCACAUUGCGCCCGCCAGUAUUCUGGCGGGCAUGCCUGUUCGAGCGUCAUUUCAACCCUCAAGCACAGCUUGGUGUUGGGACUCGCGUUAAUUCGCGUUCCCCAAAUUGAUUGGCGGUCACGUCGAGCUUCCAUAGCGUAGUAGUAAAACCCUCGUUACUGGUAAUCGUCGCGGCCACGCCGUUAAACCCCAACUUCUGAAUGUUGACCUCGGAUCAGGUAGGAAUACCCGCUGAACUUAAGCAUAUCAAAAGCGGAGGA
rnacentral:misc_RNA from 1 species